rnacentral:rRNA from 1 species
AGCAGCCGCGGUAAUUCCAGCUCCAAUAGCGUAUAUUAAAGUUGUUGCAGUUAAAAAGCUCGUAGUUGAAUUUCGGGAUUGACGUGAUGGUCAUGCCUUAAGGGGUAUGAACUGUUGCAGUUGAUUUCUCACCUUCUGGAGAAACUUGAUGUCCUUUAUUGGGUGUCUUGCGGAUCCAGGACCUUUACCUUGAAAAAAUUAGAGUGUUUAAAGCAGGCAUUUUUGCUCGAAUACAUUAGCAUGGAAUAAUAGAAUAGGACGGCAUGGUUCUAUUUUGUUGGUUUCUAGGAUCACCGUAAUGAUUAAUAGGGAUAGUUGGGGGCAUUAGUAUUCAAUUGUCAGAGGUGAAAUUCUUGGAUUUAUUGAAGACUAACUACUGCGAAAGCAUUUGCCAAGGAUGUUUUCAUUAAUCAAGAACGAAAGUUAGGGGAUCGAAGACGAUCAGAUACCGUCGUAGUCUUAACCAUAAACUAUGCCGACUAGGAAUCAGACGAUGUUAAUUUUUAAUGACUCGGUUUG